UACAAAGUGAGUUCCAGGACAGC
rnacentral:piRNA from 1 species